AACUUCAGUCUUACUACAAAGCCUUUUACAGCAGUAUUUACAUUUCUUUUUCAAAUUUAAUCUUCAAAAUGUUUAUCGGCCCUGUUCAGAAAGAACAUUUGCACAAUAUGAUCCUGGGUUGUGGUUGGCCUUGUGGAUCGCUGAGCGGACCGUGUAAUGGCUGCUGCGGAGGAUGCUGCGGCGGAUGUGGCGGCUGUUGCUAGAUGAAAUAUGGAAGAUCUAUGUCUAUGCAUUCCGAUCAGGGCCGUAGACAACGACCACUACAGCAAUAUCUAUAUAAAAUCAUGCCAUGGUCUAUUUGUUCUCAAAUUAUAUCACUAUAAAAAUAAAUAGUUCAAAGUAAGACUAAAAAA